CAUGUAGGCGGUUCUGAAAGCUUGGUGUGAAAUUCCGGGGCUCAACUCCGGAACUGCAUUGAGAACUGCAGGACUAGAAUUACUGAAGGGUAGCUAGAAUUCCAAGUGUAGGGGUGAAAUCUGUAGAUAUUUGGAAGAAUACCAAUGGCGAAGGCAAGCUACUGGCAGAUAAUUGACGCUGAGGUGCGAAGGUGCGGGGAGCAAACAG
rnacentral:rRNA from 1 species